UUGCAUGUGGAAAUGUCUGCUCCUUAUUCCUUUGGAAGCAGGAAUACAUCCAUAACAUGCUACAUUUAUUUUUUUAUUU